rnacentral:rRNA from 1 species
ACGCUGGCGGCAUGCCUUACACAUGCAAGUCGAACGGUAACAGGGUUAAGCUGACGAGUGGCGAACGGGUGAGUAAUGUAUCGGAACGUGCCCAGUCGUGGGGGAUAACUGCUCGAAAGAGCAGCUAAUACCGCAUACGACCUGAGGGUGAAAGCGGGGGAUCGCAAGACCUCGCGCGAUUGGAGCGGCCGAUAUCAGAUUAGGUAGUUGGUGGGGUAAUGGCCUACCAAGCCGACGAUCCAUAGCUGGUUUGAGAGGAUGAUCAGCCACACUGGGACUGAGACACGGCCCAGACUCCUACGGGAGGCAGCAGUGGGGAAUCUUAGACAAUGGGCGCAAGCCUGAUCUAGCCAUGCCGCGUGAUCGAUGAAGGCCUUAGGGUUGUAAAGAUCUUUCAGAUGGGAAGAUAAUGACUGUACCAUCAGAAGAAGCCCCGGCUAACUCCGUGCCAGCAGCCGCGGUAAUACGGAGGGGGCUAGCGUUGUUCAGAAUUACUGGGCGUAAAGCGCACGUAGGCGGACUGGAAAGUCAGAGGUGAAAUCCCAGGCUCAACCUUGGAACUGCCUUUGAAACUCCCAGUCUUGAGGUCGAGAGAAGUGAGUGGAAUUCCGAGUGUACAGGUGAAAUUCCUACAUAUUCGGAGGAACACCAGUGGCGAAGGCGGCUCACUGGCUCGAUACUGACACUUAAGUGCGAAAGCGUGGGGAGCAAACAGGAUUAAAUACCCCUGGUAAUCCAC